AUGCAUGAUGCGGUUCAUUUCCAGGAAUCUAAAGCAACCAGAGAGAGAGAGAGAGAGAGAGAGAGAGAGAGAGAGAGACGGUCAUGCUUGGCUCCUCGCACGCCAUCCGCGGUAGAGCCAACGCUGGGUUUGGAGAGUUGGCAGCUACGCGAGUGGCAUACAGGGAGCCAGGCAUAUCCCAUUGUUUUCACCUCUUCCUUCCUGCCGAGCCUUCACCUACCUCCCCAUCCAGAAGCUGCAUUGCACGGCGUCAGUCAUCCGUCGAUGUCCGCGCUCACAAACGAGGCCCCCCUCUCAAUGCCGACCUCAGGACACUCUACAUUGUGCGUGUGGAUGGAUGGCGCUACUCAUGGAGAGGAGAGAGAGCUAGCUUGGUAA
rnacentral:rRNA from 1 species